UGGGGAAUAUUGCACAAUGGAGGGAACUCUGAUGCAGCGACGCCGCGUGAACGAAGAAGGCUUUCGAGUCGUAAAGUUCUUUUAUAUGGGGAGAUAAUGACGGUACCAUAAGAAAAAGCCCCGGCUAACUACGUGCCAGCAGCCGCGGUAAUACGUAGGGGGCUAGCGUUGUCCGGAAUCACUGGGCGUAAAGGGUUCGCAGGCGGAAAUGCAAGUCAGGUGUAAAAGGCAGUAGCUUAACUACUGUAAGCAUUUGAAACUGCAUAUCUUGAGAAGAGUAGAGGUAAGUGGAAUUUUUAGUGUAGCGGUGAAAUGCGUAGAUAUUAAAAAGAAUACCGGUGGCGAAGGCGACUUACUGGGCUCAUUCUGACGCUGAGGAACGAAAGCGUGGGUAGCAAACAGG
rnacentral:rRNA from 2 species